GACGAACGCUGGCGGCGUGCCUAAUACAUGCAAGUAGAACGCUGAAGGAGGAACUGCUCCUUCUGUUGAGUUUCGAAGCGGUGAGGUACGUGUAGGGUACCUGACCUGUCGUGGGGGGGGACUAUUGGAAAGGAAAGCUCAUCCCGUAUAACAGUAGAUGUUACCUGACAUUUGCUUAAAAGUUGCAAUUGCACCCCUACCAGAUGGACCCGCGUUGGAUUAGCUAGUUGGUGGGGUAACGGCUCACCAAGGCGACGAUAAAUAGCCGACCUGAGAGGUUGAUCGGCCACACUGGGACUGAGACACGGCCCAGACUCCUACGGGAGGCAGCAGUAGGGAAUCUUCGGCAAUGGACGGAAGUCUGACCGAGCAACGCCGCGUGAGUGAAGAAGGUUUUCGGAUCGUAAAGCUCUGUUGUAAGAGAAGAAAGAGUGUGAGGGUGGAAAGUUCACACUGUGACGGUAUCUUAACAGAAAGCGACGGCUAACUACGUG
rnacentral:rRNA from 1 species